rnacentral:rRNA from 1 species
AUUGAACGCUGGCGGCAUGCUUUACACAUGCAAGUCGAACGGUAACAGGCCUUCGGGUGCUGCCGAGUGGCGAACGGGUGAGUAAUGCAUCGGAACGUACCCAGAGGUGGGGGAUAACGCAGCGAAAGCUGUGCUAAUACCGCAUGUGAUCUGAGGAUGAAAGCGGGGGACCGAGCAGCAAUGUUUGGCCUCGCGCCUUUGGAGCGGCCGAUGUCGGACUAGCUAGUUGGUGGGGUAAAGGCCUACCAAGGCGACGAUCCGUAGCUGGUCUGAGAGGACGACCAGACACACUGGGACUGAGACACGGCCCAGACUCCUACGGGAGGCAGCAGUGGGGAAUUUUGGACAAUGGGCGCAAGCCUGAUCCAGCAAUGCCGCGUGCGGGAAGAAGGCCUUCGGGUUGUAAACCGCUUUUGGCAGGAACGAAACGGUGUCCGCUAAUACCGGGCGCUAAUGACGGUACCUGCAGAAUAAGCACCGGCUAACUACGUG